rnacentral:rRNA from 1 species
GUAAGGAAUUUUCGGCAAUGGGGGAAACCCUGACCGAGCAACGCCGCGUGAGUGAUGAAGGCCUUUGGGUUGUAAAGCUCUGUUGUAAAGGAAGAACGUGCUAAGAAGGAAAUGUCUUAGUAUUGACGGUACUUUACCAGAAAGUCACGGCUUACUACGUGCCAGCAGCCGCGGUAAUACGUAGGUGGCAAGCGUUAUCCGGAAUUAUUGGGCGUAAAGGGUGCGCAGGCGGUUUAUUAAGUUUAGGGUGAAAGCGUUGAGCUUAACUCAAUACAGCCUUAAAAACUGAUAGACUAGAGUGCAGAAGAGGGUAGUGGAAUUCCAUGUGUAGCGGUAAAAUGCGUAGAUAUAUGGAGGAACACCAGUGGCGAAGGCGGCUACCUGGUCUGUAACUGACGCUCAGGCACGAAAGCGUGGGGAGCAAAUAGGAUUAGAAACCCUAGUAGUCC